GACGUAGGGGACGAGCGUUGUCCGGAUUCAUUGGGCGUAAAGCGCGUGUAGGCGGUCCGGUAAGUCCGCUGUGAAAGUCGAGGGCUCAACCCUCGAAUGCCGGUGGAUACUGUCGGGCUAGAGUGCGGAAGAGGCGAGUGGAAUUCCUGGUGUAGCGGUGAAAUGCGCAGAUAUCAGGAGGAACACCUAUUGCGAAGGCAGCUCGCUGGGACGUUACUGACGCUGAGACGCGAAAGCGUGGGGAGCAAACAGG
rnacentral:rRNA from 1 species